CCCUAAAAAACUAUGGGAACUCUGAGUGU
rnacentral:piRNA from 1 species